AUUGAACGCUGGCGGCAUGCCUUACACAUGCAAGUCGAACGGCAGCACGGGAGCAAUCCUGGUGGCGAGUGGCGAACGGGUGAGUAAUAUAUCGGAACGUGCCCAGUAGUGGGGGAUAACUGCUCGAAAGAGCAGCUAAUACCGCAUACGACCUGGGGGUGAAAGGGGGGGAUCGCACGACCUCUCGCUAUUGGAGCGGCCGAUAUCAGAUUAGCUAGUUGGUGGGGUAAAGGCCUACCAAGGCAACGAUCUGUAGUUGGUCUGAGAGGACGACCAGCCACACUGGGACUGAGACACGGCCCAGACUCCUACGGGAGGCAGCAGUGGGGAAUUUUGGACAAUGGGCGCAAGCCUGAUCCAGCAAUGCCGCGUGCAGGAAGAAGGCCUUCGGGUUGUAAACUGCUUUUGUCAGGGAAGAAAUCCUCUAGGUUAAUACCCUUGGGGGGAUGACGGUACCUGAAGAAUAAGCACCGGCUAACUACGUGCCAGCCGCCGCGGUAACAC
rnacentral:rRNA from 1 species